rnacentral:rRNA from 1 species
CAGCGGUAAUACGAAGGGGGCUAGCGUUGUUCGGAAUUACUGGGCGUAAAGCGCACGUAGGCGGCUUUUCAAGUGGCGGGUGAAAUCCCUCGGCUUAACCGGGGAACUGCCUGCCAGACUGGAUAGCUUGAGGCCGGGAGAGGUGAGUGGAAUUCCCAGUGUAGCGGUGAAAUGCGUAGAUAUUGGGAGGAACACCAGUGGCGAAGGCGGCUCACUGGACCGGUACUGACGCUGAGGCGCGAAAGCGUGGGGAGCAAACAGG